AAUCCAUAAAAAUGUAACGACUCUACAAAAAAUGAAAAAAAGAUUGUCGCUGCUAUGUUUAAUAUUAGUGUCAAUAAAUUGUUCUCAAAACAAAAAAAACAUAGAUGAAUUUAUCGAUGAUGUACUGGCGUCAGGAAAGUUCGCACAACUGGCUGAUAUUAUAGCCGAAAAAACAAUAGUUAAAUUAUGGAAUAUGAAAAACAAUAUUUUUUUUAGUACAAAUAGUAAAAAUCGAACAGACGAAACAGUUCGUCGUCAUAUCCAUGCGGUUGAUAAUAAUUCAUUGCGGAAUAUAUCGUUAAAAUAUAGACAAUUAAUCAAUCAUUUAAAUGGAGGGAAUCUUUUGCUCAAAGCAAGUUCCAAAGAAUUCAAAUAUAACAGCAAUGAGGUUAAUACAACGCUCGAGGACGAAGAUAUCGUCACGAAUUCUAAUAGUUCUAAAUUUGAAUUGCCAAAAUCUGAAGAAAAAAUAUUUAAACAAGAGUUGACAACUGACUUUACCACGAUUGGAUUGUCAAUACAAGAACAGAGUGAUUUUUUUAAUAUGAAUAAACAAAGAGACUUGAAUAGAAAAAAUACCGGAAGAAAAGAUGGGAACAAGAUAUUUGUAUUUCAAGCGUCUUCUGAUUACGAUGAGUAUCAUGAAAAAGUGGACAAAAUUUUAAGCAACGAUCCUAAUUAAAAAUCUAUGCCAGGAA